rnacentral:rRNA from 1 species
CUGCCCAUCAGACGGGGACAACGAUUGGAAACGAUCGCUAAUACCGGAUAGGACGAAAGUUUAAAGAUGCUCCUAGCAUCACUGAUGGAUGAGCCUGCGGCGCAUUAGCUAGUUGGUGGGGUAAAGGCCUACCAAGGCGACGAUGCGUAGCCGACCUGAGAGGGUGAACGGCCACACUGGGACUGAGACACGGCCCAGACUCCUACGGGAGGCAGCAGUAGGGAAUCUUCGGCAAUGGGCGAAAGCCUGACCGAGCAACGCCGCGUGAAUGAAGAAGGCCUUCGGGUUGUAAAAUUCUGUUAUAAGGGAAGAAAGGUGAUGGGAGGAAAUGACUAUCAAUUGACGGUACCUUAUGAGAAAGCCACGGCUAACUACGUGCCAGCAGCCGCGGUAAUACGUAGGUGGCAAGCGUUAUCCGGAAUUAUUGGGCGUAAAGAGCGCGCAGGUGGUUAAUUAAGUCUGAUGUGAAAGCCCACGGCUUAACCGUGGAGGGUCAUUGGAAACUGGUUGACUUGAGUGCAGAAGAGGGGAGUGGAAUUCCAUGUGUAGCGGUGAAAUGCGUAGAGAUAUGGAGGAACACCAGUGGCGAAGGCGGCUUCCUGGUCUGCAACUGACACUGAGGCGCGAAAGCGUGGGG